CUCUGAAAAGCUGAGCCUGAACAUGGCUGCACAACGAGUGUUCUUGGCAGGCAGCACUGCAGCACGAGAGCCCAAAGACGUGCCCCACGAUGCCGACGUUUAGAUUGCAACCGGAGAAAACCUUCCUGUGCCCACGAGAGAAAAAAAUGAGAGACCAUCUGUCAUUAAUGAAGAAAGUAUCUCGGCCUGGUUCUUCCUAGUGGUGGCAAGCAGAAGAAAACCAAACCUGUCGUUGUUCACUGCAUGUAGAAAACUAUUGAGAACAGCUCUGGCAGAAUUUUAGUGUUUAAGAACUGCAAAGGACAGGUUAACUAUGAGAUUAUUGCACCACAAAAUCCAAUUGAAAAGUUUUUCAGAUGAUUGCACACUGAAGAUAACUUAUUUCUCCAGUGAAAUACUGAUACAAUGUAUAAGGAGAAAAAAUGGGCAAUAAAUGCUCCUCUGCUUGACAGAUGCCUGCAAAAUUUCAUCACACCUUUGCGAGGACCUCUUUGGGUCUUUAAGAGAGAAGGUUUCAGCCUCUCAGGAGCAAAGAUUUCUAUCCAAGGAGUUCUAUUGGCCCUGCACCAACGAUUAAAGUCUGCAAACUGUUGCAAACAGCAGUCAAAACGGGAAUGCUACCUUCUUGGACUUGUGAAGAGCUCUCCCAGUUUGGACAGCAGGCAGACAACUGUGUGAUACGAGAUGUGCUGCAGCCUGUGCCAUGAGCUGAAGUGACUGUUCACUGUUCUUGUGAAUCUUUUUCUACCAUUGUAGCAAAGAAACCGGUUGCCAGUAUUCCUCACUGUGAUUUUUUUCCCUGAGCCAUCUCAGCUGCUUCAUCCAGCUAAGUCAUCUGGGUUCCAUGCUCUCUGUCAAGUUGUCAGGCUCUAGUGUCUUCUAUACAAAAAAUUAUUUCACGUAAUUUAUAGGUGAGUGGGAUGCUUUCCGAAUUUAUAACCUCGGAUCUUAAAGGCAGCAGUUAUUCAAAGUAAAGGUACCAUUCCUUUGAGCAAACUAGCAGAAUGUGUGGGCAUUAUAUAUCUAAUUCUGUAAAUUAACUGCAACCCUGAGUUGGCCUCUCAGUCAAAGUUGCAAACUGUUCACUGGUUCAGAGACAAAUUUAAGUCUUAGCACAAAUGUGAUCUUCAAAGCACUUCAGGAGAAUGGUUGAACUUCAGCUUGCUUUGCCCAUUUGGAGAGACCCCAAUGUUUACCUCUUGCUAGAGCAGGAUGGUUGACUGUGUACCAGUUCUCUCUCAUGACAAGGGGACAUCUCCCCACAAUCAUUUUUGGCAGUGUCCUGGUGUUGCCUGCCAGGAGGAAAGGGGAAUUUUAUCAGUUACCAGGAUUCUGGCAGUUCUUGUUUGUGCAGGUAGCCCAAAAUGCAGGUGUAUUUCAAGAAAUGAUUUAGUUGUAUUAAGAUAAGAAGUAUAUUCAUUCUACACUGCUUCCCAGACUGGGCUGUAAGCAAUAGUUUAACAAGCACAUCUAUGUCCCAGAAUGUAAGUACCUCCAUAUUUUUGCAUUAAAGCUUACUUACAGUCCAUGAUCACUACUAAUCUUGACAUCUUUGAAAAUGUAGAAGGAAGAAAUGGUAUGUGAAGAAGGAAAAAAUGGUCCUCAGUUAGGAAAAAAAAAGUAUUUCAUGAGCUGCUCUCCAAAUCUUUAAUGACAUACAGAGGGAAAAAUAUUCUCAAAGACCUUGAUAUAACCAUUAACUCUUUAAAAGGUACAGAAUGUGGUCUAAUGACUAGUUUCUGCAGAAAGAGACAAUUAUCUCACAGAAGUCUUAAAGAAUUUGGAUAAUUCACAACAGACAGAGUAAAGCCUGCAGUAACAUGGUUUUGCCCUGCCAAGGCUGAAAGUAGAACAGACUUUUCUGGAAACAAGUUUUGUAUAGACAACCAGGUGUCUGUUGAAUGCUUUGUGGUUAAUCACAUAUCUCCCCAAAUCCAGAAAAUUCACUUCCAAAACCUGUAAACAAGGGAACAGGUCACCAGGUCACAGUAUUGACAGUAGCUGAGAUAAUUGACAAAUUUUUUUUUUGAUAAUUGAGAAAUAUAUCUUUAGACUUCCAAAUAACUGCCAGGAAAUAAAAUUUGAGAUAGCUGUUAUCUGCCAGCAGUCCUUAUUAAAAUCCAGAUUGAAUUAAGGCUUUAAAAAACUAGAACAACCAGGAGCCAUACGGCAUUUAUACUUAUGAGAACAAAUUCCAUCUAAAAAAAUAAAUGUGGAAAGGCUUGAAAGAGUCUGAUAAUAUGGUCAAGCUUUCAUGUAUAGAUCCUUCAAAAGCUCAGAAUAAAAUUAUACUUACUUGUUCUUCACUCCUUAUUUCUUGAUUCCUUGUCAACUUUGUCAAAACUCUGUUUUCUCCUGAGUUUGCUCACAAAAAUUCUCUCUUUAUUUUUGGAAAUAGUUUUGUUUUACUUUGUGGCACAUUUGUAUUUAAUUUGACUUGCAAAUAUGGAGGUGUUAUACAUAUGGUACUCCAGUUAUAAUAGAGGGAAUGAUAGUAUUCUGUUUUGCUGAAAUUCCAGCUGGUAGAAAAUUAAGUGUGCAAGCAGUCAUGCUCAGCAGAAGAGUGUAAAACUGAGAGGUGUGUCUUGUAGCUGCUUAUUUAGAGGUCAGAGUUUUUUUCACUGAUUCCUUCAGCAUUAAUGAUGGUAGUUAGAAAUAUAUGUUCUCCUAUAUUUUGUCCUGGUUUUGGCAUUGAGAUGGAAGACCUAAACAGUUUUUCUUCUUCAUAAGGUGCUGAUUUGUCUAUAAACAGGCAGUUCUUUAGCACUGUUUGAAGCCCUGAUUGCUGACUCCAACCGUGAUGUUCCACCACAAAGGGCAAGGGAGAUUUUCAAGCCUAAUGCUCUGGUUAGGAAAAUGCCAUUUAAAAAAGUUUCCAGCUCCUUUUUCUUAGGUGACUCUUAGGCUGUCAUGUGAUCCAGGCCUUUAUCAAGUGUUGUGCUGCUUGGUUCCCACCAGUGCCUUGGGCAGGCUGGCUCUCCUGGGUUGUAGUCAGCACUUCAACCAGGUGAAGGGCUCGGACAAUAUGCAGGAAUUGGAAAUGUUCGGUGAAGAAGGUCUGUAAAAACUCUGUGCUGAAAUUUUAACUCUUUCAGAUUGGCUAGACCACUUGCCUAACCUUUAUUACCAUAUUUAGUAUCAUAUAUUCUCUCCCCUCCCCCUCUUUCUCUGUGUUUUCUUUAAAUGAAGACCACAUCUUUCUUAUGUCAUGUAAACGAAAAUGCAGUUUUGAAGAUAACUGCAAAUGUCACUGAACAAUGGACGUUACAUGAAGGAAAACAACCUGAUGUCAGGAAAUAUAACAAUCAAGGGACUGUUUUCCAAUGGCAAUAGCAGUUACAUUAUUUCUAAAUUAUAUAAGUUUUUUAUAUGUAGGGAACUUGACAUCUUUUAAGUAAAGGUGUAAAUAAAGAUGAUUCCAGCCACAAUUUACUAUUGAAAAACAUAUUCACUACUUACAUAAAACAUAGAUUUUUUAGGAAAGAAUUACUUCUGUUGAUCUUGCAGAGAUGUAUUAUUGCUAUGCUUAGUUUGUAAAAUACUUGCAGUAUUCUUCUAAGGGAAGAAAUUUGCUUAAAAGCUCCUUUUCACAUACAACUUUAAUAACUCAAACUCACAUUUGGUUUACCCUUAUUGUAAUAUGCUUGAAUUUUACAAUGUAUAUUUUCUACCUGGUUAAGGUUACACGUAGCUCUUUCUCAGAAAACUUUCGGGGCUGCACACUUUUUAUCAGUAUUGUUUAAUUUAUCCUUACAUGAAAAAUCCCACUACACAUAACGAAAAUAAAUGCGAAUAUUGGGCUUCUGUUCAGCCCGGUCUUAUGGCUCCUCUCUGAAUGCCAGUCACAGGAUGCAGAUAUUCCUGCAAUUUUACAUAUUUUUCCAGGGCUGGCAUCUGGCUGCUCUGUAGAUUCCUGAGGCAGUUCUGUUAGCACUGUUGAGAUGCCUCCAGGUCUACCAUGUGACGGAGUUGCAGAUGGAGCACUUGCGCAAUGCACUUUCCUUUUUUCCUGGUUUAAUCAUACCAGGGAGUCUGUCGUGUUUCUUUGUGACACAGAGUCUUUGUACAUGCUAAAAAAAGGCUAUUUCACCCUUUUAAAAAUUAAUAAGCCUUCAAUUUUUAGAGAAAAUUUGGAGAAAAUCUGCUAUUACAGUGAGCCUUUCCAAACUCCUACAUCUCUAAGUUGUUUAAUUUGAUGCCGUAUAUAGAAAUUUGUUUUGAAUGCUUGUUUAUCAAAAUUCAUUCCCUAUGUUUAAAUACCAGCUGAGAAAAAAUCAGUGGGGAAUUUAAGACAAUUACUGAGCAGAUACCUGAUUAGGGAUGCCUCUAUUCAUUGGUGUUAAAGAGCUGAAAAAAAAUUAUGCAUGAUAAAUAACAUAAUUUCUGAAGUAAAAAAAAUAUCUAGUGCUGCUUCUGUACAAAUGUCUCAAAUAUUUAUGGUAUAAAAAGGAAUUGUUUCAGAUUGUUCAAAUGUUGGUAUUUAUAAUUACUGUAAUGUGAAAUAAUGUAAACGCAUGUUGCAUGUAGCAUGUACUGAAAUCUGGGAAAUUUGGACUGAAGUGUGGCUUAUUCUUAACUUUGGACUGUAGAAGGCCACUUACUAAUUAAAAGCAGUAAAAUAUUCUGGCUUUAUUCUUAGAAAAACCAUUACAGAAUAGAUUUUUUAUUUCUAGAAAGGUGCAUGUGUAGCUAAUCCUUUAAUAAAAUGGCAAACUUUUCCCGAGCAUCUGCUCAUUGCAUUUUAUCAUACUAUUUAGGAACUAUUCUUUGUCUUCAUAGCAGUCUUAAUUUAAUAUUUGCAUAAAAGUCUUCAGAUCAUUUCAUUAUUUUGUUUAAUAGUGUUCUCCUCUUAAGAUUACAGCCUUUUCCAUUAAAUUGCAAAUUAUGCAAACAAAGUACGCCCACUUAAGUUUGGCAAUUUUUCAUUGCCAAAUGACUAUUGUUUCACUGUUCAUUUGUUCAAAGGAUUACUUUUUAAAUUAGUGAACUAAAAUGAAAAAGUGCAUGUUUCUGUUCUCUUGUUUGUAACCCAUAAUUUUCCUAAGGCCAAUUUAAGGUAUAUUGUCUUUUAGAAUGACAUUAAAUUAGACCUCAGUCAUCUGCUUCCUGUCACUUUCUAUUAUUUUGUACUUGUUCAUCAAUCCUUGGGGGAAAUCAAAGCCUGUGUGGCUCCCAUUUGAAUCUGCAUAAUUCUCAGUGAUGGCUGGGUCAGGAGGUGCCUCCCCAUGAUAUUUAAAUUUCUACCAUAACUGGAGUCAUUAACCCUUCAAUGACAUGGUCAUUCUAAUAAUCUUGUUAGCAAUCUUGUGUUAUUCAUUAGAAUAAAGUACCUUCAAUCUUAAAUUCAAUUCUAAAUUAUAAUAUUUUGAUAUUAAUAAG